UUUUACAAUAUUCCAUUAUUAAUUAUAUUUAUAUCAGCAAAAUGUUUUCAAUUUAGACUUUUUAUAUAGGGUUUAAUAACAAAUUGCAGCCAGUGUUGUAAAGUGUUGAUCGAUCUUGACUACAAGAUCCAUACCACCAAAGUGUUUUGGAUUUAAGCUUUUUAUGCAGAGCUUGUGGAAAUGAAGGGGGCCCACAGGAUUGGAGAUUAACAAAUUGCUGCCAGUAAAGUAAAAUGUAGAUCACUUUUGAUUACAAGAUCCAUACCACCAAGUGUUUUGAAUUUAGACUUCUUAUGCAGAGCUUAUACAAAUGAAGGAAACUACAGCCUUGGAGGUUAUUCGUUAACAAAUUGCAGCAACUGUUGUAAAAUGUUUAUCCAUUUUCAUUUCAUUUCUUAUAUUUUUCUACUUUCUUGUAGUUUUUUAUGGGGAUCUUCUAUUUUUCAAUGAUAACUCUUUGAGUCCUCCACUUUUUCAUGUACUUGGCAUAAUUUUUUUACUUUUUUGAAGUUUUUUAUUAAGCUCUACAUUAAUUUGCAAGUAAAAUAAGGUUUGUAUGUGUUAUUUACAAAUAAAAUUGAUGUCAUAUGAGUAACGCACAAUUUAUUAUAUUACAAUACCAGAUUCAGACCCUUAAGUUUUCAAAAGCACACAUAACGCAUGGCAGAAAGUCUUGUUGUAACAAACUUAAAUGUUAAAAAUGAAGUAUGAAAUGAAAAAAGAGGUCUACACUAUUUCUAACCCACAGUUUAUUAUAUUAUAAUACCAGUUUCAGUCUUUUAUGUCUCCAAAGUACAUACAACGCAUCGCAAAAUGUCUUGUUGCUAGAAAUUGAAAUGUUAAACAUGAAAUGAGAAAUAAAGAAAGAGAUCCACUAUGUGUAAUGCACAAUGUAUUGUAUUAGAAUACAUUCACAAGUAUGCACAACGCGUGGCAGAAAAUCUUGUUGUAACAAAUGUAAAUGUUAAUAAAUAAAGUGGGAAAAUGUACAAAGAGAUCCACUAUUGGUAACACACAAUUUAUUGUAUUAUAAUUCCAGUUUCAGUCCUUUGAGUUUUCAAAAGUAUGCACAAAGCAUGUCAGAAAGUCUUGUUGCAAGAAACCAAAUGUCACAAAUCCAAACUGACAGUUACAGGUUAGAAAUGAACGAGCGGCAUGAGUGACAGCCACAUUACAAUUCCGACCGACGAGCCUUGCCGACUGAUUUCGAUAGUCGACAAAUCGAAGAACGGCCUUAGCUCCUAUUGGGUAAGUGUUGACGAAAAAUUCCUUGGCAAAGGAAAAGAAAAAUGCUGCAGUUUUUGACACAUUCAUGAUAUGAUAUUACGAUAUCUCUGUCGUUCGUGGACCGAUUUUAUUGCUUUUGGUUUUAUUCGAAAGCUUAUAUGCGAUUUACAUAAGAAAAAUGCCUUUAGAUUUAGAAAAUACAGCAGGGAUGACGAGAUAUUAAUGACAGAAGUUUCGAGUUAGGUUGGAAUCGCUUUUUCUCGAGUAAAAGAUACGCGAUAGCGCCAGCGCCAGGCAUAUACGGGGAGGCUAUUUUUUCAUGUACUUG